rnacentral:rRNA from 1 species
GUGCAGCGCCGCGGUAAUACGUAGAGUGCAAGCGUUGUCCGGAAUUAUUGGGCGUAAAGGGUACGCAGGCGGAUAAUCAAGUCAAGCGUGAAAGGUGUCGGCUUAACCGACAGACUGCGUUUGAAACUGAUUAUCUUGAGUGUAACAGAGGAGAGUGGAAUUCCUGGUGUAGUGGUGAAAUACGUAGAUAUUAGGAAGAACACCAGUGGCGAAGGCGACUCUCUGGGUUAACACUGACGCUGAGGUACGAAAGCUGGGGGAGCGAACGGGAUUAGAAACCCGUGUAGUCC